CUCAGAUCUGCUGAGUUCCUGUUUUACCCUCAACACAGAGCAUUGUCUCAUGUGUGGGGGAAAAGGCUGCAUCUACACUGGGGGAUUCCUAUACUCUGUAUACUCCCCUGGGCUAUAAUUACUAAGCUCUUAUAAGAGCUUGUUCCUUUACUCUCUUGGAGGAGAGGUUCACCCACUGGAACCUGGAGCCUUGUCGUAGGUCCAGGGUAGGUAGAGGACGGUGAGUACCCAGCCAAGCUGUAACGCUGGAUGUGGGGACUGCGGUGCUGAUGGUGUCUGGUGCGGUGCUGAUGGUCCUUGGUAAGCACUAGGCUCAUCGAUUGACGGUGGGUCCGUCACAAUCAUAGUCUCUUUUCUCCUGUCAUGUGUUAAAAACACACAAUUUGCACCUUCUUGCAUAUACUUGUGAUGAUGAGUAG